UACAGAGGGUGCGAGCGUUGUCCGGAAUCACUGGGCGUAAAGGGCGCGUAGGCGGCCUGAUAAGUAGGGGGUGAAAUCCUGUGGCUUAACUGCAGGGCUGCCUCCUAGACUGUUAGGCUCGAGCACGGUAGGGGCAGAUGGAAUUCCCGGUGUAGCGGUGGAAUGCGUAGAGAUCGGGAAGAACAUCGGUGGCGAAGGCGGUCUGCUGGGCCGUUGCUGACGCUGAGGCGCGACAGCGUGGGGAGCAAACAGG
rnacentral:rRNA from 1 species